GUCAACAUGAUUCAGUGGUUAGAGUGUUGGACUUCAACUCUGAGGAACAUGGUUCGAAUCCCUACUCAGCCA